AUUUUUUUUUUUUUUUUUAGUUCUAGUUUAAUUUCCUCAAGUGAAUGUAUCAGUUAUCCUUUAUACUGCAACGAAAAAACUAUACAUGUGAGAUUAAAGGGGAUGAAAGUGAGAACAAAAAUGAAAUCUCAGAUUCAUUAACUCCACAAAAAAGUACGUUGUCAAGGACUGCCCUACGGAAAGCUUUUGGAAGCAGCAAUUGGUCAACCGACUAAGGAAGCCUGUUAUGCCUAUUGCUGUGGGCCCAACUUAUCUACUGAGUCAUUGGAGUAUUCAGCAAUUUAAAGUGUCUUCCUCAAACAACUGCUCCAGACCAACAAGAACAUGUAAAAUGACAAUGUUUUCAGCUUUUUUAAGAUGGAAUUUUACGUUAUUUAGAGCACAAUCCAAGUGACAAACAUGAACAGCUCCAUUCUCAUUGGAUGCUCUUUUGCUCAUCAUUUCAGGCUCCCUAUAGCCUGUCGGCUGAGAAGCAUAAACAAGUCUGUUUAAUAAAGAAUUUUACUAAAUUUGUAGUGCAAUGUUUCUUCCAAGUCACCUUGUCAAUGUGGCAUGCUUUGUAAUGUAUUAUUAAUAAUGAAUUUUUUGAUGGAUUCAGGUGGACAGGGAAUCACCAGUAAAAAUCUUCUUGUUUUCAAAUGGUGGACAUUGUUGACAAGUUUUUGUUAGGAAAAUUCUUUUUAACCAUGCUGCACUUGAAUUUUUGACAUUUAGGAUACAUCCACAUGUUUGUUUAACGGUGUUGUCUUGUCCAGAAACUAAAUUGACUCUAGUUUAAGUUUACUUCUGAGAAGCACAUAGUAAAACUAGUUUAGUCUGCUGAUUUCAUGUAUUACAUUUCUUGGAUAGGUAAAUGCAGCUAUUCAGCA
rnacentral:misc_RNA from 1 species